ACUCCUACGGGAGGCAGCAGUAAGGAAUAUUGCGCAAUGGGCGAAAGCCUGACGCAGCGACGCCGCGUGGGGGAUGAAGGUCUUCGGAUUGUAAACCCCUUUCGGGAGGGAAGAUGGAGCGAGCAAUCGUUCGGACGGUACCUCCAGAAGCAGCCACGGCCAACUUCGUGCCAGCAGCCGCGGUAAUACGAAGGUGGCAAGCGUUGUUCGGAUUCACUGGGCGUACAGGGUGUGUAGGCGGUUUGGUAAGCCUUCUGUUAAAGCUUCGGGCCCANCCUUAAAGNGCGCAGAGGGUACUGCCAGGCUAGAGGGUGGGAGAGGAGCGCGGAAUUCCCG
rnacentral:rRNA from 1 species